CAGUCGCCGCGGGAAUACGUAGGGUGCGAGCGUUAAUCGGAAUUACUGGGCGUAAAGCGUGCGCAGGCGGUUUUGUAAGACAGGCGUGAAAUCCCCGGGCUCAACCUGGGAAUGGCGCUUGUGACUGCAAAGCUAGAGUGCGGCAGAGGGGGAUGGAAUUCCGCGUGUAGCAGUGAAAUGCGUAGAUAUGCGGAGGAACACCGAUGGCGAAGGCAAUCCCCUGGGCCUGCACUGACGCUCAUGCACGAAAGCGUGGGGAGCAAACAGGAUUAGAUACCCCUGUAGUCCCUGUCUCUUAUAA
rnacentral:rRNA from 1 species